rnacentral:rRNA from 1 species
UACGUAGGGUGCGAGCGUUGUCCGGAAUUAUUGGGCGUAAAGAGCUCGUAGGCGGUGUGUCACGUCGGCCGUGAAAACCUGCAGCUCAACUGCAGGCUUGCGGUCGAUACGGGCAGGCUGGAGUUCGGUAGGGGAGACUGGAAUUCCUGGUGUAGCGGUGAAAUGCGCAGAUAUCAGGAGGAACACCGGUGGCGAAGGCGGGUCUCUGGGCCGAUACUGAAGCUGAGGAGCGAAAGCGUGGGGAGCGAACAGG